rnacentral:rRNA from 1 species
GGUUUGUUCCAUACCACCCUGAACGCGCCCGAUCUCGUCUGAUCUCGGAAGCUAAGCAGGGUCGGGCCUGGUUAGUACUUAGAUGGGAGGGCACAAAAGUUAUUCUAUGGGAAAAAAAAUUU